UAAUUGGGGUCGGGUGGGGGGGGGGGUAUAUUCAUAUAUUUGUGUUCUGCCAAGGCCUCGAAAUAAGUGCCAGUCACUGACCGGUAAAAAGUCACAGUUUGACCGGCAAAUCUUGUCGCCUGGCGGACAUACGUGACCAGUAAAUUUUUUAAUAAAAAAGUACGUUAAAAAAUGGAGCAGAUUUUUAUUUCCAAUUUUCCAAAGAAGCGUAUAUGUCCGUCUACAGUGCAGGCAAAUAAUGGCGGCGAAGUGACACAUUUUGUCAUACAUGCAGAUACGAUAUACCACAAGCAUUGUACCUAAGGGGCGGAUAAUUUGACUUUGGGGGGAGGGGGGGAGUGGGUUGGAAGAUUUCAAAAAAAAUAUUCCAGCAACCCAAGGAGAAAGAAAGAAAAAAUCGUGCAGCAUACAAUCGAGAAAAAAAAUAUCAUGCAAAAGAGAGCGCUCAAAAAAAUAUUCUUCCAUGUAAAUCUACUGAAGCUUUUCACUUCAGUAUUGUAUCCACAGGCUUGAAAGAUUUUGCAUUUUUGAGCAGCUAGCACAUUCGCUUAAAAGAACACUGGGUGAACAGUGGACAGCAUCACAGGGAUAGCCAGUCGGACAUUCCCUGGCAAAAUUGUUGCCCUUUAUAUAAUAAACAGAAAAAUACAUGGGCAUGGGCGUCAAUCCUUGGGGGAUGGGGGGGACAUGUCCCCCCAGUUUUUGGAGUAGGGGGACGAAUAUCUAAUUAUCCCCCCCCCCCACACACACUUUUUGACAUGUUUAAUGAAAUUUUGUUUCUUGGUUAUCUAAAAACCUAAUGCAUGGUCAGUGCUGUUCUUCAAAA
rnacentral:lncRNA from 1 species